ACGGGGGGUUUAAGCGAGGAGGAGGCUACUAGUAUUAAUACUACUGGAUAGUGGACGUUACUCGCAGAAUAAGCACCGGCUAACUCUGUGCCAGCAGCCGCGGUAAUACAGAGGGUGCGAGCGUUAAUCGGAUUUACUGGGCGUAAAGCGUGCGUAGGCGGCCAUUUAAGUCAAAUGUGAAAUCCCCGAGCUUAACUUGGGAAUUGCAUUCGAUACUGGAGC
rnacentral:rRNA from 1 species